AGAAGAAGAAAGGAAAUUUGUCCGUUGAGCAUUAAAUCAAAGAAGAGAAAUUUGCCAAAUUGCAGCUGAAGGAGGUGGGUUAAUCUACCCUCAUUCAGGUGUUGGAGGAAUGAAUUAUCUUCUCCCUCCAAAAGAGCAAACCUCUACAGCCACUGCAAAGCUUGGGUACACCAGAGUCAGGUUCUCCAGACUAGACAGGCCCAGAUAAACACUAGUCAUAUAAACACUAGUAAGUUCAUGCCCUCGGGGCCCUGUUCAUAGAUGUCCUCAGAUCCCCUUCUUUCACGUGCUCUUUAUUUAAGUCAAGUGGAAUAAAAUUCACUAGGCUUAAGAUUUCUCAGUUACAACCACAUCUCUGACAUACAUUCAAAUCACCCACAUCCUGCUGGGGGUGUUCCCAAAACUCUUCUGUUGCAGGAAUGUUGUGAAUGCCCUGAAACCCACACCCUGAAAUGUAGAGACAGAGAGCAAGCUGGAUGGUUCCCAGGGGCUCCCAGAGCCUCCUGGGGUGGCAACAGCUGGAAGAACUCACCAGAGUCCAGUGCUGGGUCUUGGGCAGUGUCUGGCUUGCAGCCUUAGAAAUCACACUAAUGGUGGAAGGUACAAAGAGUUCAAAGAGACUGAUCUAUGUAGCCAGAAUGCCAGUUUAUUAAUUUACAGUGAGAAAUCAACUCAGAAAUGCAACUCACGUCAGCCUGGGUAGCAUUCUCUUUCUAUAAACAAGCCACACAGGAAGCCAAGUUAUCAUCAGGUUGCUUGGUAAUAUAAACCAGAGCCCAGGGAGUUUGUCACCUGAUUGGAAUGUUUAACAGUAUUGGUUUCUCACAGCCUAAUGUGUUCAUCUUUACAAUAGGUGUGUAUACCUGUCGGGAGGAAGAACCCAAGAGACCAACUGGCAACUUCCUUGAUAAUUUCUGGUAUUUUGAGUGUAUGUUUCUGCUUAGCAAAUAUUUAUUGAGCAUCUACUGUGUGUUGUAUAAUAAAGAAUUUGUAGGCCAGGCUCAGUGGCUCACACAUGUAAUUCCAGCACUUUGGGAGACUGAGGGAA
rnacentral:lncRNA from 1 species